UUAUGAAAUAUCCUUAAAUCUAGUCCUUUAAUCUAUAAUUAAAUGACUCGAUACUUUUCAGCCGCCCACAAACAAAUUAGUUCCAUCGGCGGCGGUCAAGCCAGAGGUAUUGAGUACGAUAGCAGGCAUACAUUGUGACAGGAAAAGUCUAGGCAAAUAUGGAGAAAUCAUAAUUAAAAUACCUGAUGAAUAUUGGGUCACGGGGAAAAUAUCAAAUGAGAGAGAGUUUUACGUAGUUAUUCAAGAAAAGAAUGCUACUCUAAAGGAAAUAUCUGAUGAAGUCAAACGAAUAUGUGAAUCGCAAAUGAAAGGUGUUUUCUUUUACCCUAUUUGAAAAUGUUAUUGCUGUUGAUUGUGAUCAAGACUGUAUGUAUUCAAAUAAUUGCCAAUCUCUUGAACUUCUUAAUAAUUUAAAACCUUUUCGACUGCCGAAUUGGUACUAUUUGAUAGUGUUUUAAUUCAUAAACAAGUAUAAAAAGCUACAUACCCUAUUGUUAAUACUAUAAAGGCAGGCCUUGUCUUUUUGUGUCAAAUUAUGUAUAUUAUGAUAAUCAAAUGUUU
rnacentral:lncRNA from 1 species